CCGUUCGUCGAAAACAGAUCGUUCUGCUCUCUUGUAAGAUGAACCAGUCGGUGAGCCGUUUUGAACCCUUCAACUAAUUUCUCUUCAAAAUUAAUUUCACGCUUUCUUCUCGAUAUUAUUGCGAUAUACUUGAUCAAUGGCUACAAAAAACCUUGUUUCCGAUACGUUUUCACAUUUUCGAGCAAGUAGCGCUAAAGCAUCGCAUAAAUUAUUGGUGUUAUUCGGACAACAUUUCGAAUAUUUUAUAUAUAUUUUAAUUUUAUUCGUUAUUCGAAUAAAAUAUGCCCAACUCUUUCUUUUAUAAAAAUGGAACGCCAUUGUGUUUAAAAUUGUGAAUAAUGAAAAACCGAGUUACCGCAUCUCGGAAUAUCUGAAAAAUCUACUUGUCAGCUCCGAGGGUUCAAAAAGCCUCUAAAAGGGUCGAAUAGAGUAGUUCUAAUUUUUGCUCCAUUUAAUUGUUGGAACUCCGACAUAAUUUCAACAGCCACGAGGAUAAUUCUAUGGUAUUUAUGUGGGUAGAACUGAUUAUCGAUUUAUAAUAUUUCGCACUCAAUGUGCAAGGACCUAAUUAUUUUUAGCCAACCGUUGGCCGUCGUCACGAUCACAGCUAGCACAGAUGAAAAUUCUGUUUAACAGAGAUGUGCUGGUUCUAGAGAACACCGGCUCGGCUUGGGUUGGCAAGAUCCGGGUGGAAUCUCGAGGGUACAGUGUUUCUCGUAAAAUUAUAACGCGCGGGUGUAAAAAUGAUGAACAUUGCAAAGCGGUGGUCACGAGAUAUCAGAGUUAUUUUGACGAUACAAAUGUUCAAGAUGGCGCGCGAUGCAGGUUGUUAGAAAAUUUCUGGAACUAGAGAUAAAUAAACACUCCAAAUAGGCACACUAAAGUCAUUCUUUUAUCGCAUACACGAUGGAGUUUCCACAGUUUCGGUUCACUUUACAUCGUUAAACUUUUAUUCAUUUGCGUAAAGUUUGUAUAAUGUUCAAAUUUAACAACUCCGGAUACUACCCCAUUAUAAUGGGGUAGUAUCGCGAUACUAAAAGGUGUGCGCGUUGAAAAUACUCAGUCGUUGUUUACGUUUUUCUCUCUAUGAACAUGAUCGAACUACUCCGUUUAAUAAUUACUAAACCGCGGAUCUUUGUGCGAAAUAAAAAUUUAUUUUCAUUUUUAACAUUUCGAAUAGGUUGAAAAUAAUGUAACGGCGUUAUUAAAUUUUGCCUUUCCCGUUUUUGAAUUUUAUUGAUCAGAUCACGUCACAAACGGAACGUACGAAUUAUUUGAUGCCUGAUCGUUGAGAAGGAAGUCGUAGGUUCUCCUAAAGAGUAUCGGAUGAUGGAAGAUCGAGGCUUCUCUUCGCCGUGUGUCGUUGUUUACAUACUUAACGCAUAAUCCGGCGUACUCUUUCGACCAUUAAAAAAAGAUAGAUGCACUUGUACGUAGUCGGCGGCACCAUUGAUCGUUACACUAUGAAGCAAAAUCCUGAAAACGUGACACAAACGAAUGUGACAUCAUUUUUCCAUAAAUUAGUAGGAGGUUAAUCUUCGAUUAAUAUCGAGUUGCCUCGAAAUUAAUUGCGAGUGAUAUAUAAACAGGGUAGUUUUAAUCAAAGUGAAUUUUUAUGUAGUCGAAAUUUACUGUAUUACAAAUAAUAUAAUAAUUUAAUAGAAAUUUGCAAGAUCGUUUAUUUUAUAGAAUGAAAAUCAGAGCUUUAUAGAGCACAAAACUAGACUGGAAUUGGUACACUGCAGAUUUUAGUAAAUUCUGUCUUUCUGUACGAAAUAUGUCAUAAUCGAAUCAAUGAAAAAUGAAAAAAUUCAUCAGUA